GACGAACGCUGGCGGCGUGCUUAACACAUGCAAGUCGAACGGAAAGGCCCUGCUUUUGUGGGGUGCUCGAGUGGCGAACGGGUGAGUAACACGUGAGUAACCUGCCCUUGACUUUGGGAUAACUUCAGGAAACUGGGGCUAAUACCGGAUAGGAGCUCCUGCUGCAUGGUGGGGGUUGGAAAGUUUCGGCGGUUGGGGAUGGACUCGCGGCUUAUCAGCUUGUUGGUGGGGUAGUGGCUUACCAAGGCUUUGACGGGUAGCCGGCCUGAGAGGGUGACCGGCCACAUUUGGACUGAGAUACGGCCCAGACUCCUACGGGAGGCAGCAGUGGGGAAUAUUGCACAAUGGGCGGAAGCCUGAUGCAGCAACGCCGCGUGCGGGAUGACGGCCUUCGGGUUGUAAACCGCUUUCGCCUGUGACGAAGCGUGAGUGACGGUAAUGGGUAAAGAAGCACCGGCUAACUACGUG
rnacentral:rRNA from 1 species